GGGUUGUAAACUUCUUUUAAGUGGGAAGAGUAGAAGACGGUACCACUUGAAUAAGCCACGGCUAACUACGUGCCAGCAGCCGCGGUAAUACGUAGGUGGCAAGCGUUGUCCGGAUUUACUGGGUGUAAAGGGCGUGCAGCCGGGCAUGCAAGUCAGAUGUGAAAUCUCAGGGCUUAACCCUGAAACUGCAUUUGAAACUGUAUGUCUUGAGUGCCGGAGAGGUAAUCGGAAUUCCUUGUGUAGCGGUGAAAUGCGUAGAUAUAAGGAAGAACACCAGUGGCGAAGGCGGAUUACUGGACGGUAACUGACGGUGAGGCGCGAAAGCGUGGGGAGCGAACAGGAUUAGAUACCCUGGUAGUCCACGCUGUAAA
rnacentral:rRNA from 1 species